GCGGCAAGAGCUCAAAUUUGAAAUCUGGUACCUUCGGUGCCCGAGUUGUAAUUUGAAGAAAGCUGUCUUGGAGUUGGCCUUUGUCUAUGUUCCUUGGAACAGGACGUCACAGAGGGUGAGAAUCCCGUGCGAUGAAGUGUCCAAUUCUUUAUAAGACGUUUUCGAAGAGUCGAGUUGUUUGGGAAUGCAGCUCAAAGUGGGUGGUAAAUUCCAUCUAAAGCUAAAUAUUGGCGAGAGACCGAUAGCGAACAAGUACUGUGAAGGAAAGAUGAAAAGAACUUUGAAAAGAGAGUGAAAAAGUACGUGAAAUUGUUGAAAGGGAAGGGUAUUCAAUCAGACUUGGUAUUUAGUUAUCAUUACUCCUUGUGGGUGGUGCUCUAGCUUUUUACUGGGCCAGCAUCAGUUUUGGUGGCAAGAUAAUGGCAGUUGAAUGUAGCUCCUAGAGUAUUAUAGC
rnacentral:rRNA from 1 species